ensembl:antisense_RNA anr-38 ncRNA
GCGUGGAAGUAGGCAUCAACUACCAAGGAUAUUUGGGAAGAAGCGACGGAAUUCAAGAAGAGAUGAGUGGAUUCACGUGCUGAAAUGAUUAAAUUGGAUGUUUAUAUCAAUUUUAAGUUAAAAUUUUUUUUUUAAAUCUCAAGCGCGUGCGGUUUUCCGGAUUCGGUCUCGUGACGCUCUCUGUCACCGAGGGCGCCUUUAUGUAGUACAGUAACCCCUGGAAGAUAUUUUUUUUAUUUUUGGGUUUGCCGACGCUUUUUUCUUUACUUUCGCAAAAUGUGUUUGAAUUGAAAUAGUUGCUACACAAAAAUGUGUUUUGUGAGAUAAAAAAGUAGUGGAAAACUAAUUUAAGUUGCAAAAUGGGUUACUGUACUUUUAGAAGGUGCCAUUUUUUCGUAAAAUACCCCUAUUUUUCGAUAAUUUAUUUCUGUUUUGGAGAAAACUUUAUUUAUGAUUUCAUUAAAAUUAGUAUAUUUGUGAUAAAUCUUCAUUUUAUU